UAGUUGGAUUUCUGUUGAGGUCGGCGGUGUACACUUCGUGUAUUAUUUGCUUCGGUCUCGGCAUCCUCUUGGGGAACGUCAGGACUUCAUUGGACUGGCGAGAUUCAAGACUUUUACUUUGAGGAAAUUAGAGUGUUCACGGCAGGCAAGUGCUUUGAAUACAUUAGCAUGGAAUAAUAAUAUAGGACCUUCGUUCUAUUUUGUUGGUUUCUAGAACUUAGGUAAUGAUUAAUAGGGACAAUUGGGGGCAUUCGUAUUAACGCGUCAGAGGUGGAAUUCUUGGAUUGCGUUACGACGAACUACUGCGAAAGCAUUUGCCAAAGAUGUUUUCAUUGAUCAAGAACGAAAGUAUGGGGAUCGAAGACGCUUAGAUACCGUCGUAGUCUAUACCGUAAACUAUGCCAACUAGGGAUUGGACGGGUUAUCCUAUGUGGCUCGUUCAGCACCUUAUGAGAAAUCAAAGUUUUUGGGUUCCGGGGGGAGUAUGGUCGCAAGGCUGAAACUUAAAGGAAUUGACGGAAGGGCACCACCAGGAGUGGAGCCUGCGGCUUAAUUUGACUC
rnacentral:rRNA from 1 species